CAGAGCAUCAUGCCCUUCGGGGUAGAUCUCCCACCCUGUGUAUUUUAUACCUUUUGUUGCUUUGGCGGGCCGCCUUCGGCCACCGGCUCCGGCUGGUGCGUGCCCGCCAGAGGACCCCAAACUCUGAAUGUUAGUGUCGUCUGAGAACUAUAUAAUAGUUA
rnacentral:misc_RNA from 1 species